UACGUCCUCUGAACGAUGCUUGUAAAAACCGAUGUGGAAUUUUACGGUCUGAGUUUAACCUUAAAUGAUAAAUAAUUAUCAAAUAACUUCAGUAUUAAAUUAGUAAAUUACCACAAAACGUCAUUAAUUGCUCUGCAUUGUGAUUAGUGGUUGUCCGAAACGCGCCGUUUUAUCAGUAAUUAUCAUGUCUUAUAUUUUAUAUUUUAUUCUCUCACUCGUUUGACUUCUUGACCACUGUUCCUUCUACCUUCCCGCCACAGCGAUAAUGAAGUAUUUGACCUAUGUGGCUACGUCCAGAGUCCAUGUUUUUUGUGUAAUACCACAGAACAUUCAUUGAAUCACCGAACUAAACGAAGUCCGUUUUUAUCUAUUGCCCAAUUUAUAUUAUAUAAUAUAUUAUUUGUGCCCGAAACUCCGAGCAGUCAUCACUCCGCAGUGUGCAUUCGUCAACCGACUCGUCGGCCGUCGGCGUCAAGACGGUGAGAGUCCAACAUUGUUGUUCUCGAACUUUCAUGUGCCAUUGCUCCAUCACACUCAACACACUCAUAGUUUAUGCUCCCUUGCUAAUUUCUCUUCUAAAACUCUCUUCACAAUUUCAGUUUAAAGUUGUUUAUAUUUUACAAUUCAUCUUAGGGUUUCACAUAUAAAAAUUACAAUCAAUUUUUUGCUCACAUUUUGUCGGGCGAGACGGCGCCAUCUGUUGUCACGACGGUCGCACCUAACCCGCCAGCUUGUACAGGCGUACAGCUCGAUCUUUUGUCGCCGUUCAAAACCACGUUGUUUGGUUCGUUUUCACUCUUCUGUCUUCGUCAGACUUCUAGUGACUACAGCCAAUGGUGGUUGCCAAAAAACGUGACUAGAGGGUAGUGCAUAUUCUUGCACGAUCUCGUGUACGUCGAGUUGUUAGCACCAGUUCAAUGUUUAACUAGUUCAACGUUCAACCAAUUCAAUGUUCAUCCAGUUGAAAAUAAUGGCUGUGAUUUGUGAAAGG